UAACAGGAGCCAAAGUCUGCAUGAAGGUCUCAGACCUACCUCCAUCACUGCAACAGAACCGAGCAGUGCUCCGCGAGCCUGCAUGAUUCCAGAUCUUCUUGCCUCAGCAGGAUGCUCUGGCUUUCAUGGGUGCUUCUGUCUAUAUUUCUGACAGUAGCAUCUGGGAACACAGCUCCACAGUUCAAGAUGAACAGCAGCUUUAUGUUGCCAGAGGACACACUUAUAGGCACCUUGGUUUUUCAGCUGGUGGCAGUGGAUGCUGAAAACGAUCCAUUAUACUAUAGCAUUAAGGGCGAAAAUGCUUAUUACUUCUCGGUUGAUGAUAGAACAGGCAACGUGACCCUGAAGCAAUCUGUGGAUUACGAG